GACGAAGUCCAAACACUGCAGUGGGUUUCUCUGCCAUCCAGUGGGCUUCUGUUGUAGACCAACUACAGCUCAUACAUUUGAUCUUUGAGUCAGUGUCAAAGUCCGGAUUUGAAGUACUAGCAUGCUCUUCAUAUCUAACCACCAUCUCUUCAACUCCAGAUGAUUUUCAUCAGAUGUAACCAGAUGAAGACCUGUGGAACAGAUGGAGGGCACAACCUGGAAUGGAGACUUAUGGAGACAUAUUUGUCAUUAAAUCUCUACAAAUCACAUUUUACCACUUCAUGUGGUGUACACCUGUGGCUGCUUGAUUAUGUACUUUGCUGCCACACAAGAGACUCUAGCCCUGUAAAUGCCUAUUUUGUUGUCUUUAUAAUGUGCCUUGAGACAAUAACAAAAUAAGGGGACUGGAGUGUCAUAGGGAGAUAAUGUCCACAGGAGGUGCAUAAGAUGCUUUAACAAGACCUCUUCCUGCCAAAAUUUCUAUGUUUUAUAUUCAAGCCCCAUGUUCCUCAGGGGUGAAAAUGUGAGUUUGGUAUUUAAGAUUGAUUUUCUUAGUUUCCUGUGAUUAUAAACACACCUGUUCAAAAUAACUUUGUGAUGAUAGACUAAAGAAAUUUUGUUCUAAGUGUUUCUUCUCAUAAGCCCUGUAUUUUGUCUAGAACAGGAGUUGGUCUUUUGAUAGCUGAAUCUCAAAACAGCAAGUUGUUCAAGGGGUAGAAUUUGUAAUAUUUUAUAAACAUAUAGUCUGUGGCUCAUGGGUGGCUCAGUCAGUUAAGUGUCUGCCUUCGGCUCAGGUCAUGAGCCCAGGGUUCUGAAAACAUAUAGUCUCAACAUAGUAAUUUAAAAUUAAAAUCUUAAAAAAAUAAAAAAUAAAAAAAUUAAAUUGAACUUUUGGGG
rnacentral:lncRNA from 1 species